GAUGAACGCUAGCUACAGGCUUAACACAUGCAAGUCGAGGGGAAACGAUAUUGGAAGCUUGCUUCCGAUAGGCGUCGACCGGCGCACGGGUGAGUAACGCGUAUCCAACCUGCCCAUCACUUGGGGAUAACCUUGCGAAAGUAAGACUAAUACCCAAUGAUAUCUCUAGAAGACAUCUGAAGGAGAUUAAAGAUUCAUCGGUGAUGGAUGGGGAUGCGUCUGAUUAGCUUGUUGGCGGGGUAACGGCCCACCAAGGCGACGAUCAGUAGGGGUUCUGAGAGGAAGGUCCCCCACAUUGGAACUGAGACACGGUCCAAACUCCUACGGGAGGCAGCAGUGAGGAAUAUUGGUCAAUGGACGAGAGUCUGAACCAGCCAAGUAGCGUGCAGGAUGACGGCCCUAUGGGUUGUAAACUGCUUUUAUAAGGGAGAAAAGUGAGUCUCGUGAGACUUUUUGCAUGUACCUUAUGAAUAAGGACCGGCUAAUUCCGUGCCAGCCGCCGCAGUAA
rnacentral:rRNA from 1 species